GAUGAACGCUGGCGGCGUGCCUAAUACAUGCAAGUCGAGCGAACGGACGAGGAGCUUGCUCCUCUGACGUUAGCGGCGGACGGGUGAGUAACACGUGGAUAACCUACCUAUAAGACUGGGAUAACUUCGGGAAACCGGAGCUAAUACCGGAUAAUAUAUUGAACCGCAUGGUUCAAUAGUGAAAGACGGUUUUGCUGUCACUUAUAGAUGGAUCCGCGCCGCAUUAGCUAGUUGGUAAGGUAACGGCUUACCAAGGCAACGAUGCGUAGCCGACCUGAGAGGAUGAUCGGCCACACUGGAACUGAGACACGGUCCAGACUCCUACGGGAGGCAGCAGUAGGGAAUCUUCCGCAAUGGGCGAAAGCUUGACGGAGCAACGCCGCGUGAGUGGUGAAGGUCUUCGGAUCGUAAAACUCUGUUAUUAGGGAAGAACAAAUGUGUAAGUAACUAUGCACGUCUUGACGGUACCUAAUCAGAAAGCCACGGCUAACUACGUG
rnacentral:rRNA from 1 species